UGGGGAAUUUUGGACAAUGGGGGCAACCCUGAUCCAGCAAUGCCGCGUGAGUGAAGAAGGCCUUCGGGUUGUAAAGCUCUUUUGUCCGGGAAGAAAUCCCAUCCCUGAAUACGGGGUGGGGAUGACGGUACUGGAAGAAUAAGCACCGGCUAACUACGUGCCAGCAGCCGCGGUAAUACGUAGGGUGCAAGCGUUAAUCGGAAUUACUGGGCGUAAAGCGUGCGCAGGCGGUUGUGCAAGACCGAUGUGAAAUCCCCGGGCUUAACCUGGGAACUGCAUUGGUGACUGCACGGCUAGAGUGUGUCAGAGGGGGGUUAGAAUUCCACGUGUAGCAGUGAAAUGCGUAGAGAUGUGGAGGAAUACCGAUGGCGAAGGCAGCCCCCUGGGAUAACACUGACGCUCAUGCACGAAAGCGUGGGGGGCAAACAGGAUUAGAUACCCUGGGUAGUCCACGCCCUAAACGAUGUCAACUAGUUGUCGGGGGAUUAAUUUCCUUGGUAACGCAGCUAACGCGUGAAGUUGACCGCCU
rnacentral:rRNA from 1 species